rnacentral:rRNA from 1 species
GCCCAGCACCGAAUCCUUCACCAUUUUGGGUGACAGGAAAUGUGGUGUUUAGGCCGUACCUUGUCCCGACACGUCUCUCCUCAAGUCCACUUGAUUGUGGCCCCAGGCCCAGAGAGGGUGUAAGGCCCGUGGAGGCGAGAUGUUCGGUACCUGGUGCGUCCUUAGAGUCGGGUUGUUUGGGAAUGCAGCCCUAAGCGGGUGGUAAACUCCAUCCAAGGCUAAAUACUAGCACGAGUCCGAUAGCGAAGAAGUACCGCGAGGGAAGGUUGAAAAGAACUUUGAAGAGAGAGUUCAAGAGUACGUGAAACCGCUGAGAGGCAAACUGGUGGAACUGAAAUGGUCCCGAGGAAUUCAGCCGUUGGAGGUUGCACAGUCGGUGGUGAUUGAUUUAACGACAGCGCCAUCGGAUGACGUUUCCAUCAUCGGUGCACUUUCCUCGUUUUGGGCCCGACCACGACCGGUGAGUUGAUCUGUCUGUCGUGCUUGGAAGAUAGCGCCAUCUUCGGAAGGCGUGUUAUAGACUUGCAUACGGAGCAGUCGACGCACUGGAUGAAAGUGCCUGCCCAUUGGGCUCAUAUGGUGGCUGUUUUACUGUCGAGUGCCGAUGUCACUACUUCGGUAGAGUCGUUGGCCUCUGAUAGCAUUAUGGUUGUCCUCUAUGAUUGGCAUUGUUAAGUCUGUGGUUGUGAAGUAGGUAGUCCACCUGACCCGUCUUGAAACACGGACCAAGGAGUCUAACAUGUGCGCGAGUCAUUGGGUUCACGAAACCUAAAGGCGCAGUGAAGGUAAAGAUCUGCUUUGGCAGAUUGAGGUGGGAUGCUGGGUUACGCGCCCAGCCGCACUACCGGCCCGUUCUAUAUGUAUCUCAUAGGAGCGGAGCAAGAGCGUACACGUUGGGACCCGAAAGAUGGUGAACUAUGCUUGCGCAGGUCGAAGCCAGAGGAAACUC